CUUCCUUCAAAAGAUUAUCGUGCAGUGACUGAGGACGCGGCGAGGAGCAGCACCGGACGGCAAGACUGGAGCAGAGGAAGCGGUGGAGAAGAGCAAAGAAGCAAGCAGACCAGCGGACGCAGGAACCGGACGCAGAACGAUGUUGACAGCGUGGAGCAGAGGAACGAUCGGCAGGAGGCGCACGGCUGUACCAGACGAGUGACGGAGAGGCCGAAUGGGGGAGGGGAGGGCGGCAGUAGACUUGAGAGUUGAGAGAGAUUUAGGGUUGGGAUUUAAGGGUUUUUUUUAUAGCAGGUUUGUUUAUUUAGGUUUAUUUUUUAUAGUUUAUAUUAUUUAAUUACUUUUUUAUAGUUUAUUUUUUAUAGUUUAUUUAGAUUUAUU
rnacentral:lncRNA from 1 species